rnacentral:tRNA from 1 species
GCUCCUGUGGCGCAAUCGGUUAGCGCACGGUACUUAUAAUGCCGAGGUUGUGAGUUCCAGCCUCACCUGGAGCA